rnacentral:rRNA from 1 species
UGCCGCGUGGGUGAAGAAGGCCUUCGGGUUGUAAAGCCCUUUUGUUGGGAAAGAAAAGCAGUCGGUUAAUACCCGAUUGUUCUGACGGUACCCAAAGAAUAAGCACCGGCUAACUUCGUGCCAGCAGCCGCGGUAAUACGAAGGGUGCAAGCGUUACUCGGAAUUACUGGGCGUAAAGCGUGCGUAGGUGGUUGUUUAAGUCCGUUGUGAAAGCCCUGGGCUCAACCUGGGAAUUGCAGUGGAUACUGGGCAACUAGAGUGUGGUAGAGGAUGGCGGAAUUCCCGGUGUAGCAGUGAAAUGCGUAGAGAUCGGGAGGAACAUCUGUGGCGAAGGCGGCCAUCUGGACCAACACUGACACUGAGGCACGAAAGCGUGGGGAGCAAACAGGAUUAGAUACCCUGGUAGUCCACGCCCUAAACGAUGCGAACUGGAUGUUGGGUGCAACUUGGCACGCAGUAUCGAAGCUAACGCGUUAAGUUCGCCGCCUGGGGAGUACGGUCGCAAGACUGAAACUCAAAGGAAUUGACGGGGGCCCGCACAAGCGGUGGAGUAUGUGGUUUAAUUCGAUGCAACGCGAAGAACCUUACCUGGUCUUGACAUCCACGGAACU